UACGAAGGGGGCUAGCGUUGUUCGGAAUCACUGGGCGUAAAGCGCACGUAGGCGGAUCUUUAAGUCAGGGGUGAAAUCCCCGAGGCUCAACCUCGGAACUGCCCUUUGAUACUGGGGGAUCUCGAGUCCGGGAGAGGUGAGUGGAACUGCGAGUGUAGAGGUGAAAUUCGUAGAUAUUCGCAAGAACACCAGUGGCGAAGGCGGCUCACUGGCCCGGAACUGACGCUGAGGCGCGAAAGCGUGGGUAGCAAACGGG
rnacentral:rRNA from 1 species